GUGUGGCUCAGUGGUACAGCGUGUGCUCAGCAUGCACAAGGCCCUGGGUUCCAUCCCCUGCAC
rfam:Heterocephalus glaber contig209678, whole genome shotgun sequence.